UACGUGGAGGGGCAAGCGUUGUCCGGAUUUAUUGGGCGUAAAGAGCGUGUAGGCGGCUAGAUAGGUCCGUUGUGAAAACUCGAGGCUCAACCUCGAGACGUCGAUGGAAACCAUUUGGCUAGAGUCCGGAAGAGGAGAGUGGAAUUCCUGGUGUAGCGGUGAAAUGCGCAGAUAUCAGGAAGAACACCGAUGGCGAAGGCAGUUCUCUGGGACGGUACUGACGCUGAGACGCGAAAGCGUGGGGGAGCGAACAGG
rnacentral:rRNA from 1 species